GAUGAACGCUGGCGGCGUGCCUAAUACAUGCAAGUCGAGCGAACAGACGAGGAGCUUUCUCCUCUGACGUUAGCGGCGGACGGGUGAGUAACACGUGGAUAACCUACCUAUAAGACUUGGAUAACUUCGGGAAACCGGAGCUAAUACCGGAUAAUAUAUUGAACCGCAUGGUUCAAUAGUGAAAGACGGUUUUGCUGUCACUUAUAGAUGGAUCCGCGCCGCAUUAGCUAGUUGGUAAGGUAACGGCUUACCAAGGCAACGAUGCGUAGCCGACCUGAGAGGGUGAUCGGCCACACUGGAACUGAGACACGGUCCAGACUCCUACGGGAGGCAGCAGUAGGGAAUCUUCCGCAAUGGGCGAAAGCCUGACGGAGCAACGCCGCGUGAGUGAUGAAGGUCUUCGGAUCGUAAAACUCUGUUAUUAGGGAAGAACAAAUGUGUAAGUAACUAUGCACGCCUUGACGGUACCUAAUCAGAAAGCCACGGCUAACUACGUG
rnacentral:rRNA from 1 species